rnacentral:rRNA from 1 species
UACAGAGGGGGCAAGCGUUGUUCGGAAUUACUGGGCGUAAAGGGUGCGUAGGCGGCGCGGUAAGUCGGGUGUGAAAUCUCGGAGCUUAACUCCGAAACUGCAUUCGAUACUGCCGUGCUUGAGGACUGGAGAGGAGACUGGAAUUUACGGUGUAGCGGUGAAAUGCGUAGAUAUCGUAAGGAGGACCAGUGGCGAAGGCGGGUCUCUGGACAGUUCCUGACGCUGAGGCACGAAGGUCAGGGGAGCAAACGGG